UUUUCCCCCUUCCCUUCAGGCGGCCAUAUUUUUAACCUCAGAUAAUGUUUUCCACCCAAGUUCUUUCUUCCAUUUCAGAAAUGGCGCCUAUAUGUUUAUUUAGAGUGCGGCACAGACGCCUCACACCAUCUCAAUCUGUGUCAGCCUGCACGCCGUGUACACUCAUAAGAAGUUAGUGUCUGUUUUUGCUGUAUAGAAUUAUCACCUCUUAACUAUAUGACAUUUGUGGUGAGGGAAAAACAAUCAUGGCACAGACGGAGUGGAGGUGGGGUGGCAUUUGUCAGAACUCUCAUUGGGGUUCAAAUGCAGAAACACGUUUUAUUUUUGUAACUGAAUAAUCUAUUCAAGGACCCCAAGUUUUGUUGUUGUUGUUUUUACCCCUCCUCCAACUGUCAGGGCACCAUUCAUCAGAAAAAAGCUGAAAGUCAGUUCCCCACCCACAGUCCUUCUGUAAGUUGUUGAGGUUUGAGCUGAUUUCAGACACAACGCGACCUUUGACCUCAAGCCGUCACAUCAUCCAAAAUUCUUCACCAUAUCAGAACGGUGAUCUGCAGCUGUCACACAAGGCUGUUUUGUUCCACCUGAUUGAGACGUUAACCUUCAACGCAUCCACUCAAUCUUCAGAGUCUGACUUUUCUCUUCUGCCUCUUCCCUGUUCUCCUCCUGCUGCUUCUUCUUCUUCUCCCCUUUUCCUCGAUCUGUCUUCGCCAGCAGUCUGCACAGUGAGGAUGUCAAAACAUUAGAGAGUGCCGGCGCUGAUAAUGAAGCACAGAGGUGGUCUGAGGCGCAGCAGCUGGAGCAGAGGAGUAAGGUAGAUUAGGAUAAUUACCUGGCCACGGGGCACGAUGAGAAAGAUGUCACACUUCCUGCGGGCCUCAAUCAGCGAAGGAGUAAGUGGAGAAUAAUCAGCCCAUCCUGCAGAUGUUUGCAGUGUUCUCGCACGUCCUAAAUAUCCACGCUGACGGAGACUUUGAAGAGCCUCUGAGGUCAGGUUUUAAAUUAUGAUCUGCACCCACACUCCUGUAAAUCCAUUUUCCACACAAUGCAUUUCAAAUCAAAGCAGCGUCACAUAACACGCCUAAGGAAACAUUAAGCCAUAGUGUGUUACUUUCAUGUAUGAUAGCAUAGCCCCUGUUUGCUUUGAUGUGCUCACUUUUUUUUUAGUGCUUUAUUAAUAAUAACACACUGGUUCCUUCUCAAACCAACUCCUGGUGCUCCUCACUCUCUCUCUCUCUUUCUGCCUGAACUUCAUCCCUUACUGCUUCCAAGCAUCUGUCCCUUCAUCCCUCCCCAGCCCCUGAGCCUCGCUUUCUGAUUGGCUUCUUUGAAUUUCUGGGGUGUGGGGUGUGGGUUGGGGAGGUUAAAGGCAGCGACGUGGGGCUCUACAUGAAGCGAGAGCCGAAAACCUAUCAGAGGGCAGAGUGCACCGAGUGCUGCCUCUCCAUUGGCUACUGUGAAACUCAGACAUGUCUUCAUUUCUUCCAGCCAUCCUCUCUCUGAGUGCUUUCAUUUCUGCACCCAGGGAGGGAAGCCUGGGGGAAGGUGGGGUGGUGGUGGUGGUGGUGGUGGGCUUGUUU